UCCUCCUUACAAUGCGACAUCUAGACUCAUCCGCCUUACAAUGCGAUAUUUAAGAUCGUCCUCCUUAUAGGAUAUUUAGGCCUGUCCGCCUUAAAAGGACAUUUAGGCUCGUCCCCCUUAAAAGUACAUUUAGGUCGUCCGCCUUAAGACGACAUUUAGGCUCGUCCGCUUCAUAGGACAUUUAUGUUCAUCCGCUUUAUAAGACAUUUAGGUCGUCCGCCUUAAAAUUACACUUAGGCUCGUCUGCCUUAAAAUGACGUUUAGAUUCUUCUGCCUUGCAACAGGAUGCUUAUGUACAUCCACCUUACAACCAGACAUUCCCGUCUAUUUUAUUAUAUCGCUAUAUUAUCAGAUCUAUUGGAGUUUGACGUUAUUCUUCGGAGAUAGGUUUCAGUCCUUCAAUAAGUUAAGCAAAAGACUAUCAAG
rnacentral:misc_RNA from 1 species